UAUUAAACAUAAAACAUGCAAAACACAAAACACAAACUUCAUAAUUUUGAUUUUCUAGAAAUUCUCCUUAAGAUGUUUAAGGAAAUACUAAAUUCCUUACCAAAACCUUAAAGUUUUCCUACAGCUUUCUUCUUCAUCUCCUCUCUUUUUCUCUCUAGAUCACUCAUUCUCUCUCUAAGCUCUUGGAAGAUGGAAUAUUGAAAUGGAAGUGAUGAGGAAAAUGGAAGACAUGGGUCCCUAUU
rnacentral:lncRNA from 1 species